GUACUCUCACCCUCUCAAUCCUUGGAUUGGGAGCGGUGGACUUGGGUGCUGCUGCUUGACUGUGGCUCACCUGAAAUACAGUAGUGCACCUCUUGGUUGGACAUAGUACAGCGUGAUAAGUGUCUUCGCUGGCUCCUCGCAAGAGGGUGGCCGAUCGGGAGCUCUGUGCUUUCAAACCGUCCUCGGACAAUCUCUGACA
rnacentral:misc_RNA from 1 species